AUUUCCGCAGGAGCGCGUGUGAGUUAACUGUGUUCCCCAACCCCCACAGUCCCACUGUGGGACUGCCCGACCCCUCCUCAAAACCACCACCAUCUGACAACCCUAUGGCCUCCGUGAUGAGCGAAAAGGGAAAACCUUGGCAUUCUUACUUCCUGGGCACCCUCUGCCUCCUCAGGUCCUCACCACCAUGCUGGAAUAUAUAGGUUGUUCCAGACACCUGCGGAGGCGGCCUGCAGCUGCUGGGCUUAAGGGGACCACAAGACCAGGAGUUUCAAAUCCCAGCUCUGUGUACUGCAACAAGUUGCUGCUGUCUUGAAUUCCCGGUUACCUGUUCUCUAGAAUGGGCACAAAUGCAAGGAACACAGUUAACAGCAUGAUUGGACAUGAUUAUCCUGGCCCCCAGGCUGGCAACCAAGUCUUUGAGAGAGGGGAGAGGAAGUCCAGGGUCAGGUGGGGCCUUCUAGUGUGUUCUCAUCACUUAGUACAUUCCAGCAAGAGAGCUCGGGCCUCUUGUCCUAGGAGAUGAGCAAACUGAGGCUGAAGAGGAGCAGAGACCAGACAAACAGACACCCAGGUGUCCUAGCCUCCAGGCCUGUGCUCCCUCCAACCUCCAGUUGUCAGAAGAGAGAGGAGGGCCUUCCUCACAGGGGUCUGGGGUCUUCCUCACAGAAACAGAAGGUGGGUCCCCUGGCUUCUCUCCUGGGAGGCAGUCCCAGUGACUUGGGCUAAGUGCAGGGUUUCUGGCACUCCCGAAUUACUGUGUGACCCUUUGCUAGAUGCUUUACCUCUUGGGGACUCAGUUUCUAUCCACGAAAUGGGGUCACAGGGACUCUCAUUUCCAGGGGUUGUUGGGAGGAUGAAAGGAGCAAAUGUUGGCCCAGGUUAGUCCUCCGUGGUCUCGGCAGCGCCUGGGGGGUGUUGCUGAGGGAUGGGAGUGAUUCAGGCUGGGGGGCAGAUUGGCCCAGACCCAGAAGUCCCCAGGGGAGAUCCCACGAAGGAACCCCGGGCCAUGCUGAGGCUGUGUCGCUGAGGCUUGUGAGUGCUGGGCCAGUCCUGCCUUGACCUGGGUGCCAGAGCCGUGGCCGCAUCCCUGGGAGAAUGAAUGGGGCUCAGUGUGGCGGCUCCACUGAGCUCAGAGCCCCCUUUGUGCUGCCUUGAGUGGCCGUUGGGAGUGCGGCUGGGGACCUGCUGGCGGGUGGCUGUCCGGCAGGCCCUCCUCAGUCUGCGUUGGAGGCUCGCCCAGAGCAGCUCGUGGGCUCCCAGCCCUGCACAUUCAAGGGUCUUCCUGCCUUCAGGCCUCGGCUACAGCAGGACCCACACCCGCAAUGCAGCUUUUUCCUGACCCCACCCCACCCCCAGGGCUGCACAACUGGCUGCAAGUUUUGCCUCCACUGAGUGGCCCCAGCUCUAGACUGAGCCAGAGUGCCUUAGGGAACCCUGCUCUGGUUUCUGUCCCCCUCUCCUUACCCCUUUCCCCCAGUCUGCAACUCAGCCACCUGCCAUUUGGCCAGGUACUAUUAGGGGUUGGAGUCUUUCAACUUCAGUGGCUCAGUGGGUUAAGCCUCUGCCUUCAGCUCAGGUCUUGAUCUCAGGAUCCUGGGAUCAAGCCCCGCAUAGGGCUCUCUGCUUGGCAAGGAGCCUUCUUUCCCGUCUCUCUCUGCCUGCCGCUCUGCCUGCUUGUGAUCUCUCUCUGUGUCAAAUAAAUCAAUUAAAUCUUUAAAAAAAAAAAAAAAAA